UACGAAGGGGGCUAGCGUUGCUCGGAUUUACUGGGCGUAAAGGGCGCGUAGGCGGACAGUUAAGUCGGGGGUGAAAGCCCGGGGCUCAACCUCGGAAUUGCCUUCGAUACUGGCUGUCUUGAGUACGGGAGAGGUGUGUGGAACUCCGAGUGUAGAGGUGAAAUUCGUAGAUAUUCGGAAGAACACCAGUGGCGAAGGCGACGCACUGGCCCGUUACUGACGCUGAGGCGCGAAAGCGUGGGGAGCAAACAGG
rnacentral:rRNA from 1 species